rnacentral:rRNA from 1 species
UACGUAGGUGGCAAGCGUUGUCCGGAAUUAUUGGGCGUAAAGCGCGCGCAGGCGGUCCUUUAAGUCAGAGGUGAAAUCCCAAGGCUCAACCUUGGAACUGCCUUUGAUACUGGGGAUCUCGAGUCCGGAAGAGGUGAGUGGAACUGCGAGUGUAGAGGUGAAAUUCGUAGAUAUUCGCAAGAACACCAGUGGCGAAGGCGGCUCACUGGUCCGGUACUGACGCUGAGGUGCGAAAGCGUGGGGAGCAAACAGG